CCUACGGGAGGCAGCAGUAGGGAAUAUUGCUCAAUGGGGGAAACCCUGAAGCAGCAACGCCGCGUGGAGGAUGAAGGUUUUCGGAUUGUAAACUCCUUUUGUUAGAGAAGAAAAUGACGGUAUCUAACGAAUAAGCACCGGCUAACUCCGUGCCAGCAGCCGCGGUAAUACGGAGGGUGCAAGCGUUAUACGGAAUCACUGGGCGUAAUGAGCGCGUAGGGGGGAUAGCAAGUCAGAUGGGAAAUCCUUUGGCUUAACCAUAGAACUGCAGUUGAAACUGUUAUUCUAGAGUAUUGGAGAGGUAGGUGGAAUUCUUGGUGUAGCGGUCAAAUCCGUAGAGAUCAAGAGGAAUACUCAUUGCGAAGGCGACCUGCUAGAACAUAUCUGACGCUGAUGCGCGAAAGCGUGGGGAGCAAACAGGAUUAGAUACCCCGGUAGUC
rnacentral:rRNA from 1 species